rnacentral:rRNA from 1 species
CGCGCCUCAAUACAUGCAAGUCGAACGGUAGGUGAGCGCUUUGGCGCUGAGAGUGGCGCACGGGUGAGUAACACGUAACUGAUCUGCCCCAUAUAUUGGGAUAACCUAUGGAAACAGGGGCUAAUACCGGAUGAUAGCGAGAUAGUUAGAGAGUCUUGCUUAAAGCGGAGUAGCGAUAUGGGAUGAGGUUGCGUGCCAUCAGCUAGUUGGUGAGGUAAAGGCUUACCAAGGCGAUGACGGCUAGGGGACCUGAGAGGGUGGUCCCCCACACUGGGACUGAGACACGGCCCAGACUCCUACGGGAGGCAGCAGUAAGGGAUAUUGCACAAUGGACGGAAGUCUGAUGCAGCGACGCCGCGUGGGCGAAGAAGGUUUUCGGAUCGUAAAGUCCUUUUCUAUGUGACGAGAUAGGACGGUAGCAUAGGAAUAAGUGUCGGCUAACUACGUGCCAGCAGCCGCGGUAAAACGUAGGACGCGAACGUUAUCCGGAGUUACUGGGCGUAAAGCGCGCGCAGGCUGUAGGUUAAGUUGCCUAUGAAAGGUAUCGGCUAAACUGGUAUAAGUUAGGUGAAACUGGCUUACUAGAGAGAAAUAGAGGGAAGUAGAAUUCCGGGUGUAGUGGUGAAAUGCGUAGAUAUCCGGAGGAAUAUCGGAGGCGAAGGCGGCUUCCUGGAUUUCCACUGACGCUGAGGCGCGAAAGCGUGGGUAGCGAACGGGAUUAGAAACCCCGGUAGUCCACGCCGUAAACGAUGUACAUUAGGCGUUCGGUUACGCGAGUAAUUGAGUGUCGCAGCAAACGCGAUAAAUGUACCGCCUGGGGAGUACGGUCGCAAGGCUAAAACUCAAAG